CGCGUAGGCGGUUUGUUAAGUCAGCUGUGAAAGCCCCGGGCUCAACCUGGGAACUGCAGUUGAUACUGGCCGACUAGAGUACGAGAGAGGGAGGUAGAAUUCCACGUGUAGCGGCGAAAUGCGUAGAUAUGUGGAGGAAUACCGGUGGCGAAGGCGGCCUCCUGGCUCGAUACUGACGCUGAGGUGCGAAAGCGUGGGGAGCAAACA
rnacentral:rRNA from 1 species